UUAAGUUCAGCGGGUAUCCCUACCUGAUCCGAGGUCAAUCGUAAAAAAAUUGGUUGUUGCCCGGCUGGUGUCGUCCGGAAAUCAAACCAGCGAGAAUAAAAAAGUCACUGCGCUGUGAUUCCGGCCGCACCGCCUCUGUUUUUCGGGCAGGCUUAGCAGCCAGGGCCCAAUACCAAGCAGAGCUUGAGGAUAGAAAUGAC
rnacentral:misc_RNA from 1 species